CAGCAGCCGCGGAAAUACGGAGGGUGCAAGCGUUAAUCGGAAUUACUGGGCGUAAAGCGCACGCAGGCGGUCUGUCAAGUUAGACGUGAAAUCCCCGGGCUUAACCUGGGAACUGCAUUUGAAACUGGCAGGCUAGAGUCUUGUAGAGGGGGGUAGAAUUCCAGGUGUAGCGGUGAAAUGCGUAGAGAUGUGGAGGAACACCAGUGGCGAAGGCGACUCUCUGGUCUGUAACUGGCGCUGAGGAGCGAAAGCGUGGGGAGCGAACAGGAUUAGAUACCCGGGUAGUCCCUGUCUCUUAUAC
rnacentral:rRNA from 1 species